GUGAGGUAAAGGCUCACCAAGGCAACGAUCAGUAGCUGGUCUGAGAGGACGAUCAGCCACACUGGGACUGAGACACGGCCCAGACUCCUACGGGAGGCAGCAGUGGGGAAUUUUGGACAAUGGGGGCAACCCUGAUCCAGCAAUGCCGCGUGAGUGAAGAAGGCCUUCGGGUUGUAAAGCUCUUUUGUCAGGGAAGAAACAGCAGCUCUAACACAGUUUGCGAAUGACGGUACCUGAAGAAUAAGCACCGGCUAACUACGUGCCAGCAGCCGCGGUAAUACGUAGGGUGCAAGCGUUAAUCGGAAUUACUGGGCGUAAAGCGUGCGCAGGCGGUUAUGUAAGACAGGCGUGAAAUCCCCGGGCUUAACCUGGGAAUUGCGCUUGUGACUGCAUAGCUAGAGUAUGUCAGAGGGGGGUAGAAUUCCACGUGUA
rnacentral:rRNA from 1 species